ensembl:lncRNA
CUUGUCUCUACAGACAGGGGGCGUUCUCUCCUUGUCUCUACAGACAGGGGGCGUUCUCUCCUUGUCUCUACAGACAGGGCGCGUUCUCUCCUUGUCUCUACAGACAGGGGGCGUUCUCUCCUUGUCUCUACAGACAGGGGCGUUCUCUCUCUCUAGCUGGCUAAGGUAGCAGCCUGGGGUAACUGGCUGAGGUAGCAGCCUCGGGUAACUGGAUGAGGUAGCAGCCUGGGGUAACUGGCUGAGGUAGCAGCCUGGGGUAACUGGCUGAGGUAGCAGCCUGGGGUAACUGGCUGAGGUAGCAGCCUGGGGUAGCUGGCUGAGGUAGCAGCCUGGGGUAACUGGCUGAGGUAGCAGCCUGGGGUAACUGGCUGAGGUAGCAGCCUGGGGUAACUGGCUGAGGUAGCAGCCUGGGGUAACUGGCUGAGGUAGCAGCCUGGGGUAGCUGGCUGAGGUAGCAGCCUGGGGUAACUGGCUGAGGUAGCAGCCUGGGGUAACUGGCUGAGGUAGCAGCCUGGGGUAACUGGCUAAGGUAGCAGCCUGGGGUAACUGGCUAAGGUAGCAGCCUGGGGUAGCUGGCUAAGGUAGCAGCCUGGGGUAGCUGGCUGAGGUAGCAGCCUGGGGUAGCUGGCUGAGGACGUGGAGGACUAACCAGCAUCCACACACACAGAGAGAGACAGACAGACAGACAGACAGACAGACAGACAGACAGACAGACAGACAGACAGACAGACAGACAGACAGACAGACAGACAGACAGACAGACAGACAGACAGACAGACAGACAGACAGAUGUAAUCAGUAACACACCACAGACAGAGAGACAGACAGACAGACAUACAGACAGGUGUAAG